AUUUGAUUUCUUUUCUAUUACAACAAUCACCAUCACAGUGGAGAGUGAAAAAUGGAAAAUAAGAGGAUUUUCUCGAGCUGUUUGAACUAAAAGCCAAGCCCAAACAUAAAACAAGAGGAUUUUAUGGCCCGGUCUAAUAAGCUAUCCGGUCCAGCCCAGCCCAAAUUAAGCACGUCCACAUUUCUCACUCUCACUCGCUCCGUUUACGAGCGGAAGCAGAGGAGGAUCCAAAGAAGAAGAAAAAACGAGCGGAAGCAGAGUGUGGGGGGAACAAUGGCCGUCGCCGGAGGAGAUCGCCGCGGCCUCCGCCGCGUCGACACCGUCACCGUCGCCAACGCUUCUCCUUCCGAUUCCCUCGAGAGAAGCAGCAACCUGUCUACGGUCCCUGCCGUCUCCAAGCUCCAAGGCUGGGCAGAACUCCCGGAUGCCCUGCUUCACUCCAUUGUUGAUCUGUUGGGAUCCUUCACUGACUUUCUUUCCUUCGCUUCCACCUGACACCCUUGGCGUGCUGCCUUCUCCUCGGGUCUGAUCAGUGGCGGUGCCAGAAGUUCAAGUAUGUGAUGUCAAUUUUGAACUUGUGAUGUCAAAUACAUGUGUAUUUACAAAUUUUCUACCAUCUUCUGCAUAAUUUUUACUUGUAGUUAAGAGUUUCACCAAAAUGUUGUGUGGUCAAGUGACCACACUGCUUGAACGUGGCUUUGCCACUGGGUCUGAUAGUUGAUAGUCCUGACCAGCAAGCUCUGAAACUUUGAUAUGGGGGAUGAUGCUGGCACUCCUCAGAUUUGGUUGGAGUAUAAUAAUGGAUUUGUUCUCGGUUUCUA